rnacentral:ncRNA from 2 species
UGGCGCAGUGGUGAUGGAUCUCGCCCGAGCUCGGGUCGCUCGAACCGCCAACCGGCUGAUAGUUCCUACCGUCAU